rnacentral:snRNA from 1 species
GGUUGUGAGAGUGAUCUGGCUGUCACCUCACUGAUCACCGGGGUUGGUUCUACUGAUCUGGCUAGGUGGACGUCGCUCCUUCCUCCCUACUCCACAAGCCUCCCUCCUGAAGCUGCACACUUGGUUGAAGAGAAUCAUCUUUCCCAAUGGAGGAGGGAGACUGUUCUUUGGCUAGGGGCAUAUAAGUAUCUGCACUCUUCUGAUACAACCUCCAAAAAAACUCAGAAGAUUUUUUUGUAGGAGAAUGUAGGGUAGUCAAGCUUCCAAGACUCCAGACACAUCCCAAUGAGCUGCUGCAUGUAACAGUCUGCCUUUCUUU